rnacentral:rRNA from 1 species
AUUGAACGCUGGCGGCAGGCCUAACACAUGCAAGUCGAGCGGAUGACGGGAGCUUGCUCCUGGAUUCAGCGGCGGACGGGUGAGUAAUGCCUAGGAAUCUGCCUGGUAGUGGGGGACAACGUUUCGAAAGGAACGCUAAUACCGCAUACGUCCUACGGGAGAAAGCAGGGGACCUUCGGGCCUCGCGCUAUCAGAUGAGCCUAGGUCGGAUUAGCUAGUUGGUGAGGUAAUGGCUCACCAAGGCGACGAUCCGUAACUGGUCUGAGAGGAUGAUCAGUCACACUGGAACUGAGACACGGUCCAGACUCCUACGGGAGGCAGCAGUGGGGAAUAUUGGACAAUGGGCGAAAGCCUGAUCCAGCCAUGCCGCGUGUGUGAAGAAGGUCUUCGGAUUGUAAAGCACUUUAAGUUGGGAGGAAGGGCAGUAAGCGAAUACCUUGCUGUUUUGACGUUACCGACAGAAUAAGCACCGGCUAACUCUGUGCCAGCCGCCGCGGUAACAC